CGACCGGCCGGGGCGGGGGGUGCGGGGUAAGAGCAGGUUUUAGGGAAGAAACGCCUGUGGACAGGGAAAAUCGUUGACUUGGGUCCAGCAAUGCCGAAUGUGUUGGGGUGUGAGCAGCCAAAGGCAACAGGCUCCAGCCCCACCGACCGGCGCUGGGGGCACCUGGUGCAGCCCGUGGGGUGAGAAUUGCCACGAGAGGAAAUACUUCAGAGGGGCUUCCCUCCAGAUAAGGCCUGAAGAUGCCAGGAGGUUUCAGCCGGGAGGAAAGGAGCUGUGGAAGAAAAGCAGCCUAAAAACAGCCAGUGGGGAUCAUCAGGUUUUCCAGCCAAGAAGAACAAGGAGAGAGAUGAGGGAAUCGGGUUCCAAUUCCUAAUGCUUUGGUGGGUGCAGGAAUGAUUUCUGUGUGUUUUCCAGUCCCUUUGGAUUCCUGAGAUGAUUUUAAAAUGAUGGCUUUAGCAAUCAACUAAAUCGCAGAUGUUGUUUUUGAGAGGAAAUGAUGCCAAAGAAAUGCAGAGUUUUGGGUCA